UCCGGUUUGGCACCGGCAGUCUCCCUAGAGUUCCCGGCUUUACCCGCUGGCAACUAAGGACAGGGGUUGCGCUCGUUGCGCCACUUAAGGCAACACCUCACGGCACGAGCUGACGACAGCCAUGCACCACCUGUGCGGGCUCCGAGGAGCACCGUAUUUCUACGGUUUCACCCCGCAUGUCAAGCCCAGGUAAGGUGGGGAUGACGUCUCGCAACUAACCA
rnacentral:misc_RNA from 1 species